AUCCGACUGACGAGUCACAAAUGGGACGAAACGUGCAUCCUGGAU
rnacentral:hammerhead_ribozyme from 1 species